GCUUUGCGCCGGGCAGUCGCUCGUUGCCCCGCUUUGCGGCGGGACGGCGGGAGGAAAGUCCGAACUCUUACCCAGCACCAAUUUUGCGGAACUCCAAGAUAAAUCAUGGCCGCCCGGAGGCCGGAGCAAUCAUCUUUUUAUCACUUUGAUUACCUUUCUCCAGAGUCCUGCGAAGUUGGUGCUGGGUUAAAAAGGUAGCGGGUAACGCCCGCCGGGGGCAACCCCAGAGGUGCGAACAGAGACGACCGAGGCCGAAAGGCCGAGGACGUCCCCGCCGCAAGGCGGGGACGAGUCCCGGCGGCAACGCCGGGGGUGAAACGGCUAAACCCUUACCCGGGAGCAAGGUCGUACCCGGCGCUUCGCGCCGGGGGUGCCGCUUGAGGUGAGCGGUAACGCUCAUCCCAGACAAAUGACUGCCGCGCUCCGCCCAACGGCGGAGCGGCACAGAAUUCGGCUUACAGGCGCAAAGCCAAG
rnacentral:RNase_P_RNA from 1 species